AAUGUAGAAAUAGAAAUACUUACUUACACAGGUACAAAAAAAUAUGCGAACAGUUAUAUUUGUGACAUUUAACAAAUGGAAUAUACAGGAUGAUCCACGAAACGUGAUCAGCUCAGAUUAUUCUGUUGUUAGUGGAUCGCUCGGAAACUCUUUUGUCUGAAAAAUCAAAGAAACAUUAAAAGGAAAUAACAAUCCAAUUUUAUUUAACAGUGACUAAUUUGUCGUCUAUGCAAUUAUGUUACAACCGAUAAACAUCGGUUUGAAUAUCGUCUACAUUAAGAUACGUUGUUUUCUACUCUUAUAGAAUUUUUAUUAAAUACAUAAAUAUAUAGGAUGAACCACCUAAGAAUUUAAGCUGAAAUAAUUUCCAUACUAUUAGUUAUAUCGAAAAAUGUCUGAG
rnacentral:misc_RNA from 1 species